rnacentral:rRNA from 1 species
UGGUGGGUAGUUUGACUGGGGCGGUCUCCUCCCAAAGAGUAACGGAGGAGCACGAAGGUUAGCUAAUCCUGGUCGGACAUCAGGAGGUUAGUGCAAUGGCAUAAGCUAGCUUGACUGCGAGAGUGACGGCUCGAGCAGGUGCGAAAGCAGGUCAUAGUGAUCCGGUGGUUCUGAAUGGAAGGGCCAUCGCUCAACGGAUAAAAGGUACUCCGGGGAUAACAGGCUGAUACCGCCCAAGAGUUCAUAUCGACGGCGGUGUUUGGCACCUCGAUGUCGGCUCAUCACAUCCUGGGGCUGAAGUAGGUCCCAAGGGUAUGGCUGUUCGCCAUUUAAAGUGGUACGCGAGCUGGGUUUAGAACGUCGUGAGACAGUUCGGUCCCUAUCUGCCGUGGGCGCUGGAGAAUUGAGGGGGGCUGCUCCUAGUACGAGAGGACCGGAGUGGACGCAUCACUGGUGUUCGGGUUGUCAUGCCAAUGGCACUGCCCGGUAGCUAAAUGCGGAAAAGAUAAGUGCUGAAAGCAUCUAAGCACGAAACUUGCCCCGAGAUGAGUUCUCCCUGAGACUUUAAGUCUCCUGAAGGAACGUUGAAGACGACGACGUUGAUAGGUCGGGUGUGUAAGCGCAGCGAUGCGUUGAGCUAACCGAUACUAAUGAACCGUGAGGCUUAACCUU